GUCUACAGCCAUACCACCUUGAAUGCUUCUGAUCUCAUCUGAUUUUGAAAACUGAGCAGGGUCAGUCCUGAUAAGUAUUUGGAUGAGAGAUGAUGUAAUAUAUACAUUAUGCUGGUAAUUAUCAUGUGCUGUUUACA
ensembl:rRNA 5S_rRNA 5S ribosomal RNA